UACGGAGGGUGCAAGCGUUGUCCGGAUUUAUUGGGUUUAAAGGGUGCGUAGGCGGCUAUAUAAGUCAGUGGUGAAAGCCCGCAGCUCAACUGCGGAACUGCCAUUGAAACUGCAUAGCUUGAAUCUGGUUGAAGUGGGCGGAAUACAUCAUGUAGCGGUGAAAUGCUUAGAUAUGAUGUAGAACACCGAUUGCGAAGGCAGCUCACUAAGCCAACAUUGACGCUGAGGCACGAAAGCGUGGGUAGCGAACAGG
rnacentral:rRNA from 1 species